UGUGUGUGUGUGCGCGUGUGCGUUUGCGUGCGUGCGUGCGUUUCAAUUUAGCAAUUUCUUUAUGUUGAAGAGUAAAUAUCAAUUUGAUUAUUUAUAUUAUUACAUAGUUUUGCAGAUUGAAACACGUAUUGUCUCCUAGCAUACACUGACUUGACUUCUGGAGUCGGAAUUACACUGGGCUUUCUUCUUCUUUUUUCCACAGUGUCAGGUUUGUAUACUGUACUCUUGUGUAUUUUUAGGGUCGCAUGUAGGACAUACACAUAAACUACGCAAUAUUUAAAAUAAACUUCUGGAAGCAAUGGGGUAAUUUUUGGCUACAUGGUCACCCUCACGAUAAUCAUUCCGUCCCUCGUUGUGGAACGCGCCUAGCUGCUCUGUCUAAUUGUCCCUCUACGCCACCACCUAAGCGGCUACGGCUUGAGUAUCAAGUUUAGAACUGAGAACAGACAACGGGGGCCUUGAUAAUGACUCUAUGAAGACGCCAUCCGCGACUUCGGCCAAGAGUGCAACGAAGCCUCAUUGUUGCAGCCAAUAAUUUGGGUUAAUGAAUAAAUCAUAGAAAGUUUAUAAUGUGUGUGCAGAUAAAAUAGUUUCAAGGCGCAGAGGGCAGAGUGCUGACGGACUUCAUGAGAUGGUAGCAGUGCGGCAGGCGGGAGCGGUGGCCGAUCUUCU